GCCUUCCCCAGCAUCGGUCUCCUGAUCUAAUAAACUUGAGGACCAGAUCCAUCUAAUGGGAUGUGCUGACCUGACAGGGAGAAAUGUUUCCUGGCUUACUGUCUGCUUGUAGUGUUGACUUCACUGGCAGUAGCAGGACAAUCGACAGUUCCUGAAAGUUGCAGUCCUGCUGGAUGCGGAAGAGGGGAAAUUUCAGGACAGUUCCUGAAUAUUCAGGCCUUCAAAGCCCCAUUCAAGGCCAGCACAGUGCCUCCAGAAUAAAG
rnacentral:lncRNA from 1 species